AACAUGGGCCAUUUACACAACUGUUUCUUCUAUUUCAAGCUUAAGGUUUCUUUUUAUUUUCUUGUUCUUUUUAGGCCGUUUUAGCCACAAAACACCCCUUCACUGAUUUUCAAUCAACAAAUCUUCAUUCUUGUUGUCAUUCACCUUUUUUGACUCUUCUUAUUGCCCUCAACCUCUUGUCCGUCUCUUUCUCGACGCCAUUUUAUCCUUUCAAACCACUGACCAUCACAUCUAAAAUGGUUCCUUUGUUUUCCACUAUCCUUGCCAGUCGUUUCCCUGCCGUUUAUGCACCACCACCAUCGCCCCAUCCUUCUCUCUUCCUCAAAUCGCCAACAGAACCCAAACCCAUUCAACCUCUUUUCCCUUGUUAACCACUUCCAACGCUAGCCCCUAGACUGUAUUCUCCACCCCUCCUUGACCAUCAUUUGAUAUACCCAUGUCGAACAUACUAUCACCGUUCUAGUCUUCGCCGAUGAUGGCUCUGCUAACCUUCACCAUCGUCGCCUUACCACUGUACAUCAUGACAAACACGAAAGGUAAAACCAAAGCCAUUGUCCCUACCUAAAAAAGGAAGAAGACACCGAGUGCAACCUCGUCUUCGACCCUACUAUAGUCGUGAGACACCCAUGUCUCCAAUUUCCUCUGAGUCUAUCUGAGGACCAGUAUCAACACUUAAAGGAGCGACCUUUGGGUAUGGGUCAUUGUAUCUAUUGGGAGGCCUUGCAGGCUAUGUCAAAGUGGGAUGACAUGCAUACUAGCUCUUUUAGACUUAGGGGUACGAUGCGUUAUCUAAGCGCCCCGAGCUUCAGAGUCACCCUUGGACUUUAUUUCAAGGAGUUUAUAAGUACCCCAGAGUUACCAACCUUAUCUAGACACAUCUAUCACUUAGCUCCACUCUUUUGGUUUCAGAUCGCUGAAACUGUGGCACAGUACAACCCAAGCUAGUCAAAGGCAACUUGUCUACUUCCGGCCCUAUGUUAUAUUCAUGCCAUUCUGGCCUAUACACUGAUUGGUCGGAGGGAGAGUACGGGGAUUGUUGGUAUGGCUGACGCUUAUUUCCUAUAGAGUGUGGAGACGCACCACCUUAUCGAUGUCAUCUAUUUUGUGGCUCUCAGUUGUCGUCAUUUGUCUGAUCGAAGUAGGAAGGGCCCUUACAUGAUUCGAUUGGCGAGAUACUUCAAGCUUCUUAGUACUUUGGAGCAGACUUCCUCAUUCACUGUAACACCCCGAAAUCUAAAUAUUUGAUUUGUUUUGUUAAAUUCAGUCAAAAGUUAAAUGAUUUUAUUUAGCGGUAUGUGAUUGAGGUUGUGUGUUCGAAUC